rnacentral:rRNA from 1 species
UACGGAGGGGGCUAGCGUUGUUCGGAAUUACUGGGCGUAAAGCGCGCGUAGGCGGACCUGCAAGUCGGGGGUGAAAGCCCGGAGCUCAACUCCGGAACUGCCAUUGAAACUGUUAGACUUGAGGACGAGAGAGGUGAGUGGAAUUCCCAGUGUAGAGGUGAAAUUCGUAGAUAUUGGGAAGAACACCGGUGGCGAAGGCGGCUCACUGGCUCGUAUCUGACGCUCAGGCGCGACAGCGUGGGGAUCAAACAGG